UGUAUUGAUGCCUAGUUAAGGAGGAGGCCA
rnacentral:piRNA from 1 species